UACAGAGGUCUCAAGCGUUGUUCGGAUUCAUUGGGCGUAAAGGGUGCGUAGGUGGCAUGGUAAGUCGGAUGUGAAAUCCCGGGGCUCAACCCCGGGCCUGCAGUGGAUACGGGCUGGCUAGAGGCAGGCAGGGGAGAACGGAAUUCCUGGUGUAGCGGUGAAAUGCGCAGAUAUCAGGAGGAACACCGGUGGCGAAGGCGGUUCUCUGGGCAUUACCUGACGCUGAGGAGCGAAAGUGUGGGGAGCGAACAGG
rnacentral:rRNA from 1 species